CCUACGGGAGGCAGCAGUGGGGAAUAUUGGACAAUGGGGGCAACCCUGAUCCAGCCAUGCCGCGUGUGUGAAGAAGGCCCUCGGGUUGUAAAGCACUUUCAGUGAGGAAGAACGCCUGGUGGUUAAUACCCAUCAGGAAAGACAUCACUCACAGAAGAAGCACCGGCUAACUCCGUGCCAGCAGCCGCGGUAAUACGGAGGGUGCGAGCGUUAAUCGGAAUUACUGGGCGUAAAGCGCGCGUAGGUGGCUUGAUAAGCCGGUUGUGAAAGCCCCGGGCUCAACCUGGGAACGGCAUCCGGAACUGUCAAGCUAGAGUGCAGGAGAGGAAGGUAGAAUUCCCGGUGUAGCGGUGAAAUGCGUAGAGAUCGGGAGGAAUACCAGUGGCGAAGGCGGCCUUCUGGACUGACACUGACACUGAGGUGCGAAAGCGUGGGUAGCAAACAGGAGUAGAUACCCCGGUAGUC
rnacentral:rRNA from 1 species